rnacentral:rRNA from 1 species
UAACCUGCUUCUUAGCGGGGGAUAACUAUUGGAAACGAUAGCUAAUACCGCAUAAAAGUCGAUAUCGCAUGAUAUUGACUUGAAAGGUGCAAUUGCAUCACUAAGAGAUGGACCUGCGUUGUAUUAGCUAGUUGGUGAGGUAACGGCUCACCAAGGCGACGAUACAUAGCCGACCUGAGAGGGUGAUCGGCCACACUGGGACUGAGACACGGCCCAG